UUUAUGGAGAGUUUGAUCCUGGCUCAGGAUGAACGCUGGCGGCGUGCCUAAUACAUGCAAGUCGAGCGAACGGACGAGAAGCUUGCUUCUCUGAUGUUAGCGGCGGACGGGUGAGUAACACGUGGAUAACCUACCUAUAAGACUGGGAUAACUUCGGGAAACCGUAGCUAAUACCGGAUAAUAUUUUGAACCGCAUGGUUCAAAAGUGAAAGACGGUCUUGCUGUCACUUAUAGAUGGAUCCGCGCUGCAUUAGCUAGUUGGUAAGGUAACGGCUUACCAAGGCAACGAUGCAUAGCCGA
rnacentral:rRNA from 1 species